CAACAUCACAUGUACACAACACAGUGCUUAUGUAGGGUCAUGGCAUUCUAGACUUUACGUGAAUGUGUCAACUGAAUAUGCAUGAUAGUUGAUGUGAGGGGCGUAAGGGUCGGAGAAUAGCAACCCAGGUUCCUCGCUACCACAACAAAGGGUCUAAAAGGCUACUGUGCUGAAGGGAAGUUGUCACAAUAAUACAACAUGAUGCACUACACUACAAGCUACACUAUACUUGAAGAGGAGGAAAGGUCUCUUAAUUUAAUGCUAGAAGGUGAAGUUAAGUACACAUUAAUACCUCCACAGAGUUUAAAAGGCUACUGUACUGAAGGGAAAUUAUCACAAUACUAAAUGAUACACUACACUACACUACAAUACACACACACCAAUAAUAGCUGUCAUCUACGUUACUGCAAGACCCCAUACUAAUAAGGAAUAGGCUAUCAUCCCGCUACGUUACACCAGACACUCCAACAAGGCUACUGUACUAAGCAUACUAUAUGUACACUAAGGAAAAGUAGGCUAUCUAUGCGACGCUACAUACAAAGCCACAAUAACCGUUAAACUAAAUAUGACCCUUCAAGACAGGUUACUCAGAGCUCAUUAUUAUUUCCAGCAAUGAUAACUACACACCCUCAGACAGACAGGCCCACAAAACCAUUAAAUUCAAUAUGACCCUUUGAUACAGGUUACUCAGAGCUCAUAAUCAUUUCCAACAAGAAAAAGUA